CGUUUAGGGGUAAACCUGAGAAACCCGAAAUGUCGAAGGAAGAAAUUCAUUCGUGUAUCAUUAUUGACUGAAUCGAUUAUUUUUGACGAUAGAUAAGUCAUAUCAUCAAUUUUGAUGAUUUUUGAUUUAUAUGUUGCUAAAUAAUUAUUCUAUUGUCUGAUAGUGAACGCGUGCAUUUUUCUUCUGGUAGGACGUUGCGAUACGUUAGAAAAUAAUUUAUCAAUUUAUGAUUUACGGUUAAAGUUCAUUUGGUAGAUAUGUAUAAUCUCAUAUAUAUUUUAUUAUCAAUGAAACUGUAAUAUCUGAUUGAUUUAUCUGACGGUAGAUUAAAGGUUAAAAGUCGCUAUGUUUUAUUUAGCGUUAGAGGCAAGACAAAUGUGUAAAUUGUGUAAAAAUAUCAUUAUUGUUAUUAAUGGUAAUGAUGUUCUCGGUAAUCGGUAUUUAUAUCAAUUCCGAGCCAUUUAUGUAUUGCUAGUCGAGCAUAUCUCUAACAGACUUUAUUAUUAUCAGAAUAAAGCCAAUCUGCAACGCUAUAGCUUUGGGUAAUUUCAGGACCCGUCUUGAAACACGGACCAAGGAGUCUAGCAUGUUCGCAAGCCAUUGGGAUUAUAAAAACCUAUAGGCAUAAUGAAAGUAAAAAUUAAUUUAUCUUGUGUAAAUUGUAGGGAAGAUGAAUAAUAUUUUCUAGAAAUAAAUAAUAUUGUUUCGCAUUCCCGGGGCGUUUAAAUUUUAUUUGUUUGUUUACAUUCAGAUGAGAUUAUGCGCACCAAGAGUGUACACGCUGGGACCCGAAAGAUGGUGAACUAU
rnacentral:rRNA from 1 species